GAAAUUAAAAAAAAAAACAAGAAAAAGUGUGUGUUUUAAAGAGAAAAAAACCAUCAAAGCCAGGAAGGCUGUUUUGAAAUGGCAGCAGCUGAGUCUCCACUUUCUUCUCGUCUCCAGGCUGGGUGAGAGGUGGGCUGCACUUUGAUGCCCCAAGACCAGUGUUGGGUUGAUCCCCCCACGACAAAAACCUCCUACAGACUGUGCCAUAGAGGCUUCUCCAGGAUGCUUCCUCCCCAGAGAGACUAGGGACAAAGGCAGGUCCCGAACCCACUCGCCUUUCCAAACAGAUGGAGAGAAACCCCUCAAGGCACCAGGGUUUCCCCCUUGCAGGCAGCAAUGCCGUGAUGUUUUCAAAGCAUUCCCCAAUUCCCCGGCUGCCUUCCCUAAACCAGUGCAAAUGUGUUGGUCCCUUGCAGGUGCCUUGCUGCUUUAAAGGGUGGAAAGUAGAGUGGAGCAAAAGCAUCGCUCUCGUCUCAGGGACUAGUCUGAAAAUGCACCCCAUGCCCCCCGGGAGCUCCCCCUGCUCGAGAGCCAUCCGGUUGCUCUCAGCAGUGGUUCGUUUCUGAGCUCGGUGAGCGACAGGUCCCUGCCCUACAAGCCCGGCCCGCUGGCAGGUGAGACCCGGGCACGAUGCAAUAUAUCCAUGCUUUUGCUUUGCCACAGAUGCGGGGAGUGCAGCAUAGUAUUGCUCUGGAGCCAUGACCCCCUCGGUGACCUUGGAAAGCAGGUAGGCAAGGACAGGGGAUGCUUUCUGGGCAUCUGUUAAAAUAAAAACUUGGUCAGGGGUCUCAGAAAGAUGCAUCUGGAGGGAUCUCUGGCUUCCUUUUUAUUGGACUCAGGUGCCUGUGGCAGCUGGUGGUUUCUGUGCAAAGGGAUAACCCGGGCAUACCCAUUCAGCGGAGUGGAGGACCAGCCAGGUCACGCAAACCCAGGGUAUCUCUCUUCAGUACCCAGGGUUUUGUUGCAUGCUUAUUCCCUCUUGUGCCGUCUAAAAAACACCACAGUUACCUCCUCACUGGAAAUAGCCCUUAUCUAAUCAAGCUGCUUUAUUUUCAAUGUCAAUAUGAAGGGAAAAAAGAGUGGGAGACUGCAGUGACCCCGUACUGGGAGGAAUACAGCAUUACACCUCUCAAGGUGUAAUGAUGCCCCCCACGCAGAUGAGCCUAGGAGCAGCUGGACAGAGCGUGCACGUGAACGGGACUCGUGGCAUUUCUGCAGUCCUGUGCUCUGAGGCGAGGGGUGGGGGAGAUCGAGUGCCCUGGAGCUGAGACCUUCAACACAUGCCCCUUUCACUUGUGCAAAUCCUUUAGUGCAAGGCACUCUGGGCAUCGCUACAAGGAAUGUAUGGGUGCUAUCUGGUGCCCGACAGACCUGCCCCUCCUGGCACGUGCCAUUAGGACACGUGUGUGCAUGCAUGCAUGUGUAUGCAAAAGGUGGAUGGCCUUCUCUGUCCCCAAAUGCUCACGGGGUCACAUGCAGCGAGGGAAGCUGCGUGCUCCGAGUGCCUCCAGCACUGCUUUUCUAUCCCCAUCUCUCUCCGAGUUUCUAGCAGGAGCCAUUCCUCCUCCUCAUCAAAACACAAACGAGUCCCGCAAGGAGCCGCAUAAAUCAAGCUCCGCUGCUGACGUCAGAUGGGGAAAAGUGGCGGCUCAGCAUCUCCACCGCAGCAAGAGCGAUGGGCCGGGGCCUCUCCUGGAGCUCUCUGGUGUGCGUGCACGAUUUUAUCUAGUGACGUUUAAAAUCCAGGCCCGGGGAGUUGGUUGGAACUCGAUGCCCCUCAGUAGAGUUGGGGAUUUAAAAGCUUAAAUCUUGUAUGUGGGUGGUCAGGCUUGGUUUAAAAUUUUCCACAGGCAAGUUCUCAAAGAGCAACCAAAUGGGAAGCAUCUCCACGCUUUGCUCGUUCAUAACUUGCUGUUUAAACAGGAGCUUGCUCGUCUUUGCAUUGCUUGGUUCCCAAACUAGCCAAAGGCUGAGUUAGCCCCUGGUGGCUUCUUUGUCCCAAUGAAGUGAACUUGCUAAAAGAAUUAGGCAGAGGUUUGCACGCGUUUUGCUCUAGCAAGGUCAACUUUCCCCUUCCAAUCCAAACCAGGGCGUCUUGGACACGGCAGAGCCGCUUCGAGACUGCAGUGGUGCGGAGCAGGGGGUGCUCCCUGCAAGUCCCCCAGCAGCGGCGGUGGCUGCAUUGCUCUGCACCCGACUGGCUUGUUUAGGAUGCAGGCGCGUGUUCGGCUGCACUUGUAUGGAGCAGCGCGGCACCGCGUUCCCCACGGGCAGCUCCCAGCAAAAGGUUUGCUUGCUGCUUCUGCUCCUGACUUUAGGGCAGAUUAGCCACUCUGCUUAAAGCUGCUCAUCGUAUCCCAACAGCAGCCCUCACCCCCUUCUCAAAUUCAAGGCAGACUGCUGAAGGAGCCAGCCCUGCCUGGAGCCUACGAGCAGGAACUUUUGCUGUAUUUUAUUUUAUUCCUUAAGAGAGCGGCAAGGAGUUGGAAAAAGAGGCUGAGCAAAUCCAAUCAGGAGCGUGAUGAGACGGCCACUGCACAGCACCCGCUUGGCUUGACAUCAUGCAACGCCUCCUUGUUGCAUCUCCCCUGUCGUUGUCUCAGCACCGUCCGUAAUGGGUUGUUUGUACCCUUAAUCGGAGAGAUUUUCUGGCGACAGGAACUUGAGCUUGGAGACACUGAGCCAUUUGCAGGUGCUGCGGUUCUGUCACCUUGGGAUGUGAUGGGCCUCCAUGCCCAGGUGCAGAGCCGUAGGGUUGCUCUCUACGCUAUGGGGUCAUGCAGGGCCUGCACCAUCAUAGACCAGUUACCUUCACAACCUAGUGAUCCAGGGUUGUAGGGGAACUUUUUACUAGAGAUGCCGCCCCUGUAGAGAACGGUUUCUCAUUAAGUGUCCAUCCCUGUGGGGUUGGCUGCUGUGUUCGCUGUGCUCUGCAAUGAGAUCACGUGCUGGUGGCAUCGGGGUGGCCUGUCAUAGGAAAGGCAUUGUCUACCCCCAUACAAAGUCAAGGGCCAUGCAAAAUGUUGUGCCCUGGUUUCCUCAGCAUCCCGUCCAUAAAGGCUGCUGAGAUGCACGCACUCAUGCAUGGUUUUUUCCUGCCCUUUCACCCUUUUGCCGUAUCUUGCUCUGUCUCCCUCACCUCUCUCCGAUUUCUUAUCUCAGUAGCUCACCCCACCUGGUUUGCAAAACCUAUUUAACAUCAGGAAAGGCUGCGAAGCAUGGAGAGCUGACAAAGUCGCAGACGUUCAGGCAACAGCAGCUCGACGUGCUGACUGCAUUUUCACAGCUCAAAUUAUAUCAUGUUGCAGCUGAGUCUGAGAACGAAGCAAAGCAGUAACAAAGAGGGAGGGAGGGAAAUUUAAUAAUAGAAGUGUGACAUUUCUGGGCUGGACGUGUGGUGCUUUCUUGCCAUUUCAAGAACAGCCCCGUCUUCCUCUGCUCACCUUUCCAACGGGCCCCUGGUAAUUGGCCACAUUUUGUUGGAUCCUUUCUGAACUCUUUGCGAGGGAAGCAGCAAGGUGACUUCUGCUAGCAGCCAGGCUCCUUGCUCUGGAGAGGGGCUUUCUGUCCGGUCUGCUGCCCCGGUAGCAGGCAGCCCGAGCCCUUCCGAGUGCAUCGUUUUCACAUCAUGCUAGGUUUUAAAAAUCCAUUUAAUGUUCCUAACCAGACCACUUCAGUCUCUGGCCAGGCAGGGCCAAACUGACCUGCAUUAUUACAGUAGCAGAGCAAGCAUGCCUGACUUUCUGGUUUUUUUUAAUGCAUAUAUCCCAUUUUCCCCCACAGCACUGGCGUCCAGUGCUCGGAAGUGAGGAGCUCGGUCAUAAAUUAGAUUCUUUUGCACUAGAAAAAGUGGGCUGCAAGGUGUCAGUUUUCAACUCGGUGCAUUGUUUUAAUGAAGCAUCUCCCCAAACUCUAUUAAAAUUCCUUUUGAUAAGCCGAGCUGUCCUUGUUCCACUGCGUUCACCUAGAACUAGAUCUUUCUCUCCGUCUUUGAGCAGGUAUUAGAGCUGGGUGAAUAGUAUCACUGAGCCGAAAAAUUGGAAAUUUGAUGACUCCUUCCUAAUUUCUGCAAAUGAGUUUGUUUGUAGGAAUGUGCCAAAUAGUUUGGACAAAUAAUUUUGGAGGGGAUGGAUAUCUCUCAAACUGUUCGCCACAGCUGUUUGCUAUUCAAAUGUGUGGUCUGUGAUUGUUCACAUUGUUUUGUUCCUACUCCCUGAUUAGACGGCUAAAUCACUAUCGAGAGAAUGGAGACAGGCGGAUAACAUAUACUUCCAUAUAUUCAUGGAGCUCUUGGGAGCCGCAAAUAUUUUCAUGGCUGUCAAGGAUUUUGUUGGGUUUUUUUUCUUUUUUGUGGACGUUUGCUGAUAAUAAACGGCGGCAGAUCGGAGCGGCGUAGAGGCUGAGAUACCACGGUGAGCUCAGGGGUGUUGAGCCUGAGCAGAGUAAAGCAGAUGAUGCCCACAAACCUGUGUCUUUUCAUGGUUCAAGUGGUUCUUGAGGGCAUCGCAUAGCAUGAUGACCCGUGGAUUCAAAAAUCAAAUCCUCCCCUGUUUUUGAAACAGUGGCACCACUGGCAGCUCUUACUGCCGCCAUGAUAUGGGUACGUUUCUUCCCAUAGAGGGUUUUUGCAGUAACUUUGUCUGAAGUAGGUUUGGGUUUUAUUUUUUUAACGAAACACCAACAUUCAGGUUAAGCCAAAGAUCAGCUUCGACGUGUCUGAGCUCACUCGACUCUUGGGCACAGGUCCCUUCCAGCCCUAAUGUCCUAUCUCUCUGCAUUUGGUCUCCGCUUGAAAUACUGUUUAUUGCAUCCCUGGGUGGGUUGUUUCCCAGGUAAACACGGAGCGAAUUCUUCACCGCAUAUCAAUACUUGAGAAUAGAGUUGGGGAGUUUUUAAUUGCAUUUUUUAAAGAACUUGAAAUGAAGGCACACGACACUCCUAGCAUCCUGAAGAGCCCCUGGGACAAGGGACAGUGUCUCCAACACCACGGCUGUCCCACUGAAAGUGGACGUGCAAUUACCGCGUGCACUUCUUCGCAUUAUGGAGCUAAUCGUAUAACUUUCUCCACUGUCGAACACUGUAGGCAGGUCUCCUUAAUAUACUGAAAGCUUUGCUGGCAUAAAAUGCUGCAUAUUCUCUUUUCUGUUGUCUGUCUUCCCCUGUGAGGACAGGAUUUCUGAUGGUAGCAGGGCAUCAGCAGCUGCCAUGAGCUGUCCCAAGUGUCACCUUUCAGGAUUUGUCCUAUGUUUGGACACCCACGCGGAUUUUCAUCACUUGUUCCAUGCAAUUACCUGUUCAUCACUGUAGGAAGAGCUGAGCUCUCCAGCGAGGGAUGAAGCUGCCAGACCCCUCGAGUGGGCGGGUGAGAAGGGAGAAGAGAGGCGAGCAGGAGUAAUUCCCCCUCAGGGUUCAUCUGCUGGGGACCGAGGGAGACAUCUCCCUGUCUUCCACUUUGAACCGAGCGCAUGCAGCUGUCAGCCCGAGUGUCCUUCAGCGCUCGGAGCGACGCGGCAUGUGCCUUGAGCGUCAGGCAUCUGAAUGAGACGUCCGAUCCCGGCCGAGACGCGGGCAACCUCGUGCGGGAGCCGGAAAGCGAGGAUUGAGACAUCACUUGGGAGGUCAGUCGGUGCAGCCUGGCCCCCGUUUGCUGUGCUCCGUGUUGUCCACUCGAGAGCCAAGCAGACACCUGUCGAAAACAGAGCCCGAUCCUCCUCUCCCUUAUUGUCGGUGAUCUGAAAGUGGCCUUCUCGUGUCAGGCGCCGGACAGGCAAGGGAAAGGAGAGGGCUACCAUGCACAGCGCCAACGUUGCGACGGCUGGCAAAUGCCCGCGCUCGUUCUGCCAUCUUGCCCGCUCCGUUGUUUGUCUGGAGGUUUGUUUUUAUCCAUUUCGAUUUUUGUUUUUGCUUUUUUAAUUAACAAACUUUAAACCUAACAAACAUUUCGACUUUCCCCAGCAAUGGAAAUAGCAUUGCUUUAUUAUCCUGUCAUGUUUUGGUGAAAGGUGGGAAUGUGGGUCUCUGCGGUCGCCCCUCAAAAUGACAAGAUGCUAAUGAAUUGAGAAAUUGCCGCGGAAUUCGCUGGGGAUCACGCUGCCCCGAUCACAUCUUCAUUAGCAUCCCUCUCCCAGAGACCGCUGUGAUUAACAUUGUCACAAUAAACAGGAAAUGAAUGAAUAAUAAUUGCCCGUCUAUUUGAAAAUGUUACCGGCGUUGCUAUAGCGAUUGCACCUUUUGCUAAGCACUGAAGCGGGGACCCUGUGGAGAACUUCAGUGAGUGGGUUAGCUGCUUCCAGGUUGCCUUUAUUAGUUAUUUAUUAACCAUUUGUUGACCUUUCCAUUUGCAUCUGGAGUGGCUUUUCUGGCUGGGCUUUGCAUUGAGGGAAGUGGGAUUAACCAUUUCCAGGACAGAAAUAAACCUCUGUUUUACCCUGCUUUGUCCCUCCGGAGAAUGGCCUCUUAUGGGGGAGCAUUGCCGGGCACAAACUUUUCUUUGCAGUGAACGCGGCAGCCAGCACCGCUCUGCUGGGAGUUAUCCGUGCAAGCAACGGGCGACUGGAAAGCUACAAGAAUCCCUUCUCGGACUGCACGUGGGGAGCCAGACUCGGCCCCGAGGAAGGAUGGGACUGGCCCCUUGGCUAGCCUGGGAUAGCUCCCUACCUGCCCCUGCAGCUGGUCCUGGCAGAGAAAAGGCCACGGGUGCUGCAGCCUAGGGGGGACACACACCGCCUCAUUGGGGGUUGCAGGUUGUGAGCGCUGCGUCGUUUCUCAGUGAUGGCUGCGGGCCCCGCUCUCCGCGUCCAGUCCUUCUGCCAGUAGCGGGAUGUCUCCAGGUGUGCAGCGACCCCUUUACUUGCUCUCCAGACGCCUGCAUCAAAGCCGUGCCGGUUGAGUUGGGAGCUGCCGUCUCACCACGUUUUAGCUACAAAAUGGUCAGGAUGAUGCUUCUGAAUGCAAUGGACACCUGGGAGGUGAGGAUAAAUCCAGUAAUGUCCACAUGAUGCACUGGGGCGAGGAGGGCAGAGGAGUACCCAGAGAUGAGCUUCUGCACAACCUUGGAGCCACCCUUUGGAAGGUGAAUUCAGGCCUUGACCCAAAUGAGGCUGUCACUGCCCCAAAGAUCUCGCCACCAAAUGCAUGGGGCAACUUGGCCAUCGAUCAAAUUAAUCACCAGAAAGAAACGCCCUCUCCCUCUCUGGGAAAUAAGAAGACAGCGUCAUACAGCUUCUCCAUGUGCCACGGAAAGUCCCUGCUCGGAUGGGGUUAUCUAGUAGGACACCAGAUGCUGGGAAGAUGGGCAGCACCAAAGGUAUUUUAUCCAUCCGGAAGCUCGAACCGCGGGGCCUAGCGGCCUCUGCAAUGAAAUCACCGCGUCUAUUUGUUACCGCUCUCUAUUCUCCCGCAUGAGCAAUAUUCCCAUGCAAGGGCAGGGAGAGGAAAUCUCUUUCCUCACUGGGGUAAUAUUUUAGUCUUCCAUUUUAUUCAUCUACCUUUCAUCUCAAGCCUGCAAGCCUAUGACAGUAGCUUUUAAUUAAGUGAAUAUUACCGGACAUGUAAUUGGAAUUCAGCAUUAAACAUUAAUCUGAAAAG